rnacentral:rRNA from 1 species
GUGGGGAAUAUUGGGCAAUGGGGGAAACCCUGACCCAGCGACGCCGCGUGAGGGAAGACGGCCUUCGGGUUGUAAACCUCUUUUGUACGGGAAGAAGGAAGUGACGGUACUGUACGAAUAAGUCCCGGCUAACUACGUGCCAGCAGCCGCGGUAAUACGUAGGGGACGAGCGUUGUCCGGAAUUACUGGGCGUAAAGGGCGCGCAGGCUGUGCUGCAAGUCAGCUGUGAAAUGUCUGGGCUUAACCCGGGCAUGCGGUUGAGACUGCAGUGCUGGAGUGCUGUAGAGGCAAGUGGAAUUCCCAGUGUAGCGGUGAAAUGCGUAGAUAUUGGGAAGAACACCGGUGGCGAAGGCGACUUGCUGGGCAGCAACUGACGCUGAGGCGCGAAAGCCAGGGGAGCAAACGGGAUUAGAUACCCGAGUAGUCC